AUGUAAGCUAGUGAUCCCUUUUUUUUAUGACAGAUUUGACACCAACUCAAUGAAAGGAGUUAAAGAACUCACUGGAAGUGUUUGAUUUUCUAAACACUUCUUAACUUACCAACUAUUGAUUUCACUCGAUGCUUUGACACAGUGCCAUCUCUUUCACCUCUCUUUCCUGCAUGUGAAAGAAGCUACGAAAAUGACUGCUUGGUUUGGAGCAACUCGUCAAGCUGCUCAGCUGAAUUGCCUCUCCUCCUCUAAACUGGCCGGUGCUCCUCCCUUCAUACAACGACGAGGUUUCUCUAGCGGUGGUGUCAUCAUGGCCCCCAAAAAGCGAACUUUUGGCAAGACCCUCUAAGCCCAUUUGAGAUGGAAGGAAGAACAGAACGUUGCGGAUUCACCUAAGUGAGACAUUGACGUAUAUUGAACAUAUUAAAAUUCAGGCAGUCAGAUUGGGUGUAAUUAACAGAAGUUAGUGUUGUACCAUCUUUGUUUCCAUUGUUUGGGCUUUCACUUGCGUAUCAUGUUAUGUGCAUCAUACAUUAUAUAUUAAGGACAUGACACCAUCUUUUUAGAAGGGUUUGUGUGUUAAUGUGUUAUGAAUAUAUUUUCUUCAGCAAAUCCAUGGAAAAUUGUGGAAAAUUGGAAAUUAUCACAUUUGGAGAGAGUUGGAGAGAGUCGUAUAUAUUUUUCUAUGAUAAGUUAUGUCCUUCUACAAAUGUAAAGAUUACAGCAUGACUAGACUACAUCUGCAUAUUCAGGUCAAUAUAUAAGUUAGGAAAAAUUGCAGGCGAAACUUAGCAUAGAUGAUUGAUCACUCUAUUUUAUAUAUAUUUUAUUC